GUCUGUUUGUAUUGGGAAAUUAAGAUGCCGGUGGUUUAUCACACUCGAGAGGUUCGUCCUACAAAUGUCGAGCAUUACUCAGUCGCACAUUUGAGACGUUCAUCUCUGGUGAAAUGGUAAACACAGAAACAGACCCACUAGUGACAGAUGGCGUGUGUGACCUGCAGACAGGGCAGUGCAAUGUUCCCGUCUAGCGACUGGCAUAUGUUACUGCAGUCAAAACAGUCCACUGCAGAUUUGAUUGGGAGUCAGAAAAUAAGCUUGGAAGUUCAUUUGAUUACGUAAGAAAGAGAGACAGGGAGAGAGACACAUAGAGACAGACAGACAGACACACCCACACACACACACACACAAACACAGGAUUAACAAAAGAACACCAUCUGUCAGCCCAACUCCAGCCCACACAAAACAUCCCAUUGAAAUACAGUGGAGGAUCUGUACUCUACAUACCAGCACUAGAAUAGGCCAACCAGCCAAUCCUCCCUUCCCCAUAGCAAAACUUUUUUUUUAACAGAAAAUGAAAAACAAGCAGUUCUUAUUGGACAAGUUCAUGUAGUGCUUCCCUGUUUCACUCUGUUUUCUUCCGUUCUGUGAUGUAUGAACAUGACCCUAGCCUAUCUAAUGGGUUUCAGGAAGGCUGGCUGUGUGUGGUGUGCUUAAUGCCUGGUAAACUGUUUAUCCGGCCUGAUCCCACCCCUAUCACAAGACUCCCGUCACUUGACUACCCUCAUUGCCCACCCCAGGGCACUCUAUAGGGAGUUAUGGAUAAUGCAGUUACUUUCUCUGCCUCUCUUUACUUCGUCUUCCGGUCUUCCUCUUGCGCUACUCUUACUGCAAGUAUUUCUUUCUGUCUCUUACCUACUCUUUCUCUUUCUUCGUCAUUCUCUGUCCGUCUGUCUGUUUGUCUGUCUCCCUCCCGUUCUCCCUUUAUUAUCUCAUGCAUAAGCUGAAAGCAUAAGUUGAAUGCAUAAGCUUUUCAGCAAGAAAUACUCAUGUAUAAAAUGCAUCAUGAUAUACUGUAGGUUACACAUACAGUGCAUCCUCUCCACUGUUUUUACUGUGUCGUCUGAAUCCACAUCUGUGGGUGUAGCCUUCAUUUUGGACAUGAUGUGUAACUUGCCUUGCUAUUUUUGAGUCGGUACAAUAUAAAUCACCGCCACCCUACAUGUCACAUUUAGUUGUUAUCUUAAAAGUAAGGCCUUCUGUGUAAAUCCAUGUCAGUUUAAGCACUACAUGGUUACCAUCCAAAUUACAUUUGGAGAGUUUGGGGUGGAAAACGUUGCUCCCAGAGUCUGGUUGGUUAGGAAGAAAGAGGACCAGAGAUAGAUGGGGAGGUAGAUUGAGGGAAUUUACAACUGACCAUCUGAGGACAAUACAAAUGACAUCUGGACACAUUGCACUUUAAGAGAGAGAAAUAAUACAGUGAGACAAAACAGUGUGGUUGACUGGGAGAGAAAGAUUGAGAAUUGGAUGGAUUGGAUUGGAUGCUGACUUGGAAGGAAGGAAAGAGAUACAAAUAUAUUUAAUUUGGGUUUGAAUGGAACAUGCUACCUAUUAACUGCUAGUGGAGUUGGUAGAAGAGAGGCUGGAGGUAUCAGGCAGGAACAUUUACCAAAACGAGAGAAGAGUUUGUAAUAUUUCUAAAGUGCCCAAGAAUCAACUUCUACAACUUCUAUGAUGUCUUCUCCACAACUGUUCCUUCUUUUCCUGUGCUGUCUUCCUUUGGCAGCAACUCUGUGCUGUUACACGUUUCCUGCCAUCUCUCCUAUGGACUGCCUCAAGUUCCCUCAGGAGUGUCCUGCCGGACAACGCUGACGAGCUAGCACAGCAGUGGAGAUGCAAGGCUCCCUGCAUCUGGUCCUGUAUGAGAAGAGCUGUGCCAGUCCCUCUCAAUGUGGUUUAUCUGGGGAGAAGCACGCUGCAUGCCUGAACUUCACCUACCAAAAUUACCGCUGUGACACGGACCUGUGCAACGAGGCUAUGGCCCAUGCUGCCCCCAUCUGGAGGGGAGGUGCACUGUGCAUCCUAGUUAUUUUCUCUCUCAUACUAAGCUGAUAUCCAAAUGUAUUGCAUUUUAUAUGUACAUUCCUCAUCAUACAGUAACAUGCACAACAUAUACUGUAAUGGGGUGAAUCCCACUAACCAAAACAAUCUCAUUAUAGACAUAGACAAUUUGACACACUGACAGUGCCUUGUUUACAUGUAGGCUUAGAACUCACAUACAAUACACACACACACACACACACACACACACACAGAAACACUCACAGAUGCAUCCUAAACAGUAGUGCACAGUCACAGUCACAUGAGGGUAGAAAUUAGUCAUAUGUCUAUUGAGACAUAUCACAGUGUUAAAAUGACAAUGAAACUAGUGGCGAAACAUAAUCCAUAUGUUGAUCAAAUCUGCAUUAAUUUAUAAGAACAUUUGUUUAAAUAAGGGUUAAUAUGACUUUCUAACAAUUCUACUUUUCUAUGGUGCUAUAUUUAGCAUAACGGUUGAAAAGGGAUUGGCAGCCAUUAAUAAACAAACAAGUAAAGAAACAGUAACCAAUUGUGGUUUUAUUUUGACCGUCUUUUCAGGAUGAUUAAAACCUACAAAAGAAAUACUAAGUCUGAUUGUCAUUGACUCAAUGUACACAACAUAAUCUAGGCGAAGUGCUAUUGCCUUCGAAUAAAAUUGAAGGUAAAGUAAAGGGCUGAAAUACGUGGAGGAAAGAAUGCAUCAAAAGUUAGGAAGAAAAUAAACAACAAAAAUGAAGAUGGGUCUUUAAAAAAAUAGGAUGGGUUUGAGGAGGGGAUAAAGAUGGAAAAUAGAUAUGUAUGAAAUGGAGACGUAAAGGUGGAUAAUACAUUAAAUAAUAAUUAAAGACGAAUGUAAAAAGUCCCUGAAGUCAUCACUAAUCUUACAGUAAAAGGAAGUUCAAAAAAAUAACUGUUACAAGCUUCAGUAAAGGAAAAUACUAGAAUACAACAGGCAACAUUGAAAUGAAGACUUGGUCUCUUUUUGACAAAUAGUUAUGACAACAGGACUAUAGACAAUUGACCGGUAAAAGUAGGUCCAUAGAAACCAAAUAAAAUCCAUAAUAUAAAGGAUUCAGUCAUGUAAAAUAGUAAUGGGUUUUAUGAAGAUUUUUCUUAUCUAUCAGCUGUGGAGGACAUGUAUGGGUUUUAAACUACAGAUUCAUCCCAUGGUUUGAUGACUCAACUGUAUAAAAUAGCUGACAUAACAAUGCCAACUCAGAUGCUAAAUAUAUUGCAAAUGACAUCUUCAUGUUUGUACUAUUCAAUAAUGUGAAUUGCACUUAGUGACUGUCUUACAAAACCUUACCCUGGAAGACAUACAAAAUAUAUAGGUUCUGUCUUCACUAAGCUGUUGUAAAUGUAUGUCAUUAUCAUGAAUGCACCAUUAUCAGUCAGGCUGAGAGCUCUAUUCAAUCUGUAUCGCUGAAUCGUUACAGAUUGUGCAAUAGAAAUUCAAAUGUAAUUUCCGAUUGAGCCGGCAUAUGCAGCAUUUACCGUGAAUGCAGUCUCCACUAACGUGGUAACAUUGCCUUUGAAUUUCAAUCACGCUGUAACGCUGACCACUGACCUAUGGAUUAAAUAGAGCCCAAACAAAUCUGUCCAGUUCUUUCCCAGGGGACUGAAUUUCAAGUCAAUGUGAUAUGGAUUACUUAUUCAAAGUCACUACACACUACAAAGCCUUAGUGCUGAACGAUUAACUGACAUUUCGUUUUUUUCCAGUUUAUUAAACAACUAAUGAACCAACGUCGGUUAAAUUACUUGAAUUCCAUUUAGUUAGUCAAAUCAUUCGGAAAUAAAUGAUGUCAAGAACUAUGUGGGACCCCGGGCUGAAGGGAGUUGUUUUCAUUUAACAAAUAUUCAACAUAGUUCAGCGCAGAAACGUCAUAAAUAAUUACAAUGACCACAAUCCAUUGCGCCAGUUUUCCCCCAGCUCAAACAGAUCAGAGGAAGAGGCCAAACGAGAGGUUUCACUUUCGCCUAAAUCUGUCCACAAUAAACCGAAUGCAAUGCGCUUGGAAUGAUUUACGCUUGUCGUUUGCCUUCCCGCAUUUGCGACGACUCUCAUUAUUAGGGCGGAGAAAUUAGCAUCUCGUCAUUGUAUACAGAUCUCAGGACGGAUACACUUUUACGCAUGCUAUGUUAGGUUAGACACACAGACUGAAUAGACCACACGAGAGAGGAAUAUACACAACACAACGACGAGAGGGACAGAGACAGUUAAUGAAAGUAUGCCUUAUCUACUUUGAAGAUCUAGUCAAAUGAUUUCGUGAGAAAGCUCUGCAGCAUACUUAGGCAGGCUAGCUAAAUAGGAUGACUAAAGACAGUAUAGUAUGGGGAGGACGUAAUGUUACAUGGCCUGGCUGGGUGAUUCCUACUGCCUGAGCAGAGAUGAGAUUAUUACUUUAAGGAAUUAAAAUUAAUAAUGUAAUCCAUUAAAAACGAAGUAAUAUACACAUUUUAUUAUUUCAUUGUAAUUUUCAAUUUUUCUAUUGACGUUUACCCAAUGUGGACCUGAUCAGAGACAAUGGAAUAUUUUAAAUGUUUUGGAAAUUCAAUGUUUACUAUUUUUGGCUUUGGAAUUUUCAUUAAAAAGCUCUAAAAUCAUUGUAAUGUCAUUAUUUCAUAAUGCAUUUCAU